UACGGAGGAUCCAAGCGUUAUCCGGAUUUAUUGGGUUUAAAGGGUGCGUAGGCGGCCUGUUAAGUCAGGGGUGAAAGACGGUAGCUCAACUAUCGCAGUGCCCUUGAUACUGAUGGGCUUGAAUGGACUAGAGGUAGGCGGAAUGUGACAAGUAGCGGUGAAAUGCAUAGAUAUGUCACAGAACACCGAUUGCGAAGGCAGCUUACUAUGGUCCUAUUGACGCUGAGGCACGAAAGCGUGGGGAUCGAACAGG
rnacentral:rRNA from 1 species